rnacentral:rRNA from 1 species
GACGAACGCUGGCGGCGUGCUUAACACAUGCAAGUCGAACGAAGAGCGAUGGAAGCUUGCUUCUAUCAAUCUUAGUGGCGAACGGGUGAGUCACGCGUAAUCAACCUGCCCUUCAGAGGGGGACAACAGUUGGAAACGACUGCUAAUACCGCAUACGAUCUAAUCUCGGCAUCGAGGAUAGAUGAAAGGUGGCCUCUACAUGUAAGCUAUCACUGAAGGAGGGGAUUGCGUCUGAUUAGCUAGUUGGAGGGGUAACGGCCCACCAAGGCGAUGAUCAGUAGCCGGUCUGAGAGGAUGAACGGCCACAUUGGGACUGAGACACGGCCCAGACUCCUACGGGAGGCAGCAGUGGGGAAUCUUCCGCAAUGGACGAAAGCCUGACGGAGCAACGCCGCGUGAGUGAUGACGGCCUUCGGGUUGUAAAGCUCUGUUAAUCGGGACGAAAGGCCUUCUUGGGAAUAGUGAGAAGGAUUGACGGUACCGGAAUAGAAAGCCACGGCUAACUACGUG